GCACACUGAUUGGGUGGUGAUUAAAAGAUGGCGUAGCAGAAUAUCCGAAGUUGAUAUCGAGUACACUGAUUGGGUGUUGAUUAAAAACAUGCGUAGGAGAAUGUCCGAAGCUGAUACCAAGGACUUGGAUCCUUUAUGGUCUCAAGGACAGGUACCUAUUAAGCUCAAUGGUAUUAUGGUUGUAUUUUUUAUGUAAAAUUUAGUCAAAGUUCUAAAUCAGAUCUUUCAAUGUCAGUUCAUAGUUCUGUGGCAUGUCUUAUAAACUCAGUGCUGUACUUCUGAAUAUGUUAUUUUCAUGGCGUGUAAAGAUUUUUGUUACUGCUUUGCUUGAAAUGA